AAGCCAGGACUGCUUUUCUGGAGUGAUAAUGUGCUUGCCUGUGUCUAAGAGAAAGUACCCUGGCUGAUAAAUGGGACUUGGAUUUUAAAUACCAUUGGAUAAUAAAUGUAUGUGAUGGCUUUGGAGCAAAUUGAUUGACAAUGGCUAGGAGACAGCUUCCCAAGGCUGGAAAGAGGGGAGUGCGGAACAUGCCUCCACCAUACCACUGCCCACCUCCUGUGACCUCUGCAGCAAAACCUGAAGCCCCAAAGAGGCAGCUUCUCAAAGUAAAAGUGGAAUGAAGUUCCUGGUGACCUGAAUUCCCAUGGAGGAAAGAGGAAAAGGACAUUAUGCAAGGAGAUGGCAUCUCGUGUCCCUGGUGAACCAAAUUCCAUUAGGAAGACGGUGCAGUGUGAGGUGGACCUGGACCUGGAUAAAAUGGGUGUUUAACAAGUAUUUGUUGAGUAGGUGGUGGAGGAGGCACGACUAGAUGCAGGGUCUAGCUGAGUUGACAAGAGCUAACACCAGGUGUGGACCAGGACAGGGGGACCUUAAGCGAAGACACCCUGCCAGAUGUGUCUUGUUCCCUUGACUGUGGGGAGGCCCUUGGUGGUGGGGUGACGGUCCCCCAGUCUGAGGAUUUUCCCUGGAUGUAGCCUCUCAGUGCUAAAAUGGGACAGUCCCAGGCAAACCAGGUCAGUUGGUCACUCUACUCAGUGAGCCCCGUGCUGUGUUCAAAUUUUCCUCUUAACAGAUGUGGAUGGAUUUCGGAAACUUAGAAACCACCAUUUCUCUGUGCCUGGGAGGAGAGUUAAAUCUUCUCACCAGAAUCCUUUUAUGUGUGAGAGAAAUAAAUAUCUAUCCUUUUUAUAUCUCUUUUGUUUUGGAUUCUUUGUCACCAGCAGCCAAACCCAAUUCUUACAUAAACGUGAUACUAAUUAAAUUCAUUUGCAUAAACUCACCAGUUUUAUCCUUAAUUACUGUGAUAUACACUCAUGAAGUAUGUACCCUAAAAUACCACUGUAAGUUUUAUUUGAUUACAGCAUUAAACUUAAUUUACAGAAA
rnacentral:lncRNA from 1 species